GAUGAAGAACGCAGCGAAAUGCGAUAAGUAGUGUGAAUUGCAGAAUUCAGUGAAUCAUCGAAUCUUUGAACGCACAUUGCGCCCUUUGGUAUUCCAAAGGGCAUGCCUGUUCGAGCGUCAUUUGUACCCCCAAGCUUUGCUUGGUGUUGGGCGUCUUGUCUCUAGCUUUGCUGGAGACUCGCCUUAAAGUAAUUGGCAGCCGGCCUACUGGUUUCGGAGCGCAGCACAAGUCGCACUCUCUAUCAGCAAAGGUCUAGCAUCCAUUAAGCCUUUUUUUCAACUUUUGACCUCGGAUCAGGUAGGGAUGCCCGCUGAACUUAAGCAUAUCAAUAAGCGGAGGA
rnacentral:misc_RNA from 1 species